rnacentral:rRNA from 1 species
UUUUCGCAAUGCCCGAAAGGGUGACGAAGCGACGCCGCGUGGGUGAGGAAGGCCCUCGGGUUGUAAAGCCCUGUCAGGAGUUAAGAAAUGUAAGUGCGCUAAUAUCGCAUUUAUUUGACGAAGGCUCCAAAGGAAGCCACGGCUAACUCUGUGCCAGCAGCCGCGGUAAUACAGAGGUGGCAAGCGUUGUUCGGAAUUAUUGGGCGUAAAGAGCACGUAGGUGGGUUUGUAAGUCAGAUGUGAAAGCCUUCUGUUCAACGGAAGAAUUGCAUCUGAAACUGCAGGUCUUGAGUGUAGGAGGGGAGAAUGGAACUUCUGGUGGAGCGGUGAAAUGCGUAGAUAUCAGAAGGAACGCCGGCGGCGAAAGCGAUUCUCUGGCCUAUUACUGACACUCAGUGUGCGAAAGCUAGGGGAGCAAACGGGAUUAGAUACCCCGGUAGUCCUAGCCGUAAACGAUGGGCACUAAGUAGAGGGGUUUUA